CGAGUGAAAAUACUUCAGUGCCUCCAUCAGUGUUGUAUUAUCUAACAUCGACAGUGUUUGUAGACUGCAGCAGACGACAGUAAACUCUUGUGGCAAUCAUCACCCAAAUAUUUAGGAGAAACUCAUUUGUGCAGUUAGUGACAUCAGAAACUUACCAAGUAGACUACAAUGCUGGUGUUGUACUAAAUCACACUAAAGUCACUACAGCUAGAGCCUGUAUACGACUCUGUACACUGAUAUUAUGUGUACUCAUCAUUCUGUAUACAAUUUACAAACUUCCUGGUAGUGAAGUGAGUGCGGCGCGAGCUGCUGGUGUCGGACAGUCAGUGAUGCUGAUGUCAAGUGUUGUGGAGGUUGUUGUAGUCAGUGGCAGGCUUCACAUUCACUGUCUGCAGUUAUUCACAAAGGUUUUGCUAACGAUUCCUUUAUUGGAUUUCUGAUGAUGACUCGUCUUCCAACAAUUAUCGUGGACGUCGUUGUGUGCCUCCUCUCGGUGACCGUCUCUUCGGCUGAGUCUCCUGGUUCGCCAGAGUGGGCCAGCGACACCUUAGCAACAACCACGGAACUAAAGGUCACGGAAGGGUUAGAAGGACAGACAACCUUUGAAGUCAUGGCCUCCCCAGUUCCUACUAUCGACGGUUUUAUUUCUCACCAAGAGGACAGUAAUUCUUCUUCUCAGGAGAAGCUAGUCGAUCAGAUCCGAUCUUUUUACUGGGAAAUGCGAGCAGAAGACACCGGACCUUCCCCUGGCUACCUGCACUGUGUAUGUUACACAAGCCACGCCUACAGAUACCGGACUGUACAGUGUCCACGUCAGCAACUCAAUGGGCGCCAUGACUGUCACCUUUGAACUCCGUGUGACAGCGUGCAGAGACAACCUGACUGACUGUCCCAGUCUCGCCAGCCACUGUGGUGAACAGUUUGUAGAAGAAUUUUGCUGGAAGACAUGCUCAGGGUGUCGUAAACAAACAAGCAAUCAAACAAGUAUUUAAUAGAAAUGUCUCUCUCUCUAUUGUUCUCUCCGGUGUAUGUAUCGCAUGUUCUAUCCUCUUGACGAUGCACGAUAGUUGGUGUUGUCCAUUCAGACUUUACACUAACGAAGGCGACCUUGCGACUUCUAUAAUUCUCUCUGUUCCUGUCUUACUUUGAACCUAAAUGAUUUCUAAAUACCUCUCGACUUAAUUAAUAAACGCACGUCUAGUCCUUGUUUUAAGAAAGCAAGUUAAGAUUUCACCUCAUUUUUCCAUUGACCAUUACAAAGAUAAUUAUAAAAAAAUACAUAUACAUUACCUUGUCUAGGCCAGGACUCACACGCAUUUCCAGUCUCUUUCCCUCAGAAACGUUUCACAGCGUCUUUCACGUACUCGAUAUUUCGUGUAAAAGGCGAGAUUUCUGAGAAGAUAUUUGUGAGCAGAGGUCUGAAGCUUUCGGUGGUUGUUAACGAUUGGUUUUACCUUCGAAUUUGUAUAUUUGUUUAUUCAAGCGACGUGUCUUAGACCUCCAUCAGUAUUGGUGAUGAUCUGUCGACCUCCCACUAAGGUACUGUAAGUGAAAACUUCAUACAGAGACCUACCUCAAAAGAUGGAACAAACUACAGACUAAAAGACUUACAGAACCUGAUACAGUUGCAUGGUGUAGUCCACAGUCAAGUUUUUAUAAAAAGCUUGUAGGAGACGGCUGAUGUCACAGUGACUAAAGCAUCUGUCACCUCCACAGUGAUUGCUGGAGUGUCUUGGAUUCGGAUCUUGGUUCCAGUCUCUUUCUGUGCGUUCAUGCGUGCGUGCCUGUGUGUGCUAUUGAUUUCAUAGCAAUUGUUUUGAUUUUGUGAUUAACCAUAACCAACAUGCAGUACACGUUGAUGAGCUGUUAGCCCUCAAUCACGCGUUACAUAACAUAACAAAAAACAAUUUUUUACUAUUACAAUGGGUUGUUUUAAGAGAUUAUUUACAGACAAACUGCUGCCCGUCUUUACGGUGUGAAUGUUGCACAACAUCAGUAGCUGCUGACAGUGACCUCAUGUCUACACGGUCUACACAACGUCACGUGACUUAUGAGAGGUCGCAGCAGCCGAGAGAAGAGGCUCUUUGCACACCACACUCUGAGAGAUGAGUCACCCGACUGUCUGCCACCUUGAUUUUGAUAAAAACGUUUUUUCAGUUUAAAAGCAGUCGUCAUUGUGAUAUUGUUUCCCUGAGUAGAUGUUAAAUUUGUAAUAUUUAAAAACAAGUGGCGUGUACUCUUUGUUUGUAUUUCAAGAACAAUACAAAAUAUUGCUGAAAACUAUUUUUUACAAAGUGAAAAUAUCGCAUAAUGAACUCUAGGAACUAAAACAAUUUAAAGUGAAACACAUUUCAUUUUUUUGUCUUUAACGUCAAACCUGAUGCAAGUUGUUUGGGGCAAUGAUAAUGAGAGAACUGAACAACUCUAACC
rnacentral:misc_RNA from 1 species